rnacentral:lncRNA from 1 species
GCUGAUGAUAUAGUCUUGAUAGACGAGACGAGGGUCGGUGUUAUUGAGAGGUUAGAGGUAUGGAGACAUACUCUCGAGUCUAAGGGUUUCAAAAUAAGUAGAUCUAAGACAGAAUACCUGGAGUGCAAGUUUAGCGCCGCGCCAAGCGAAGUAGGCAGGGACGCGAUGAUUGGAUCUCAGGUCAUCGCCAAGAGGGACAGUGUCAGUUAUCUUGGGUCGAUGAUUCAGGGGGACGGAGAGAUUGACGUGGACGUCACUCAUCGUAUAGGAGCGGGGUGGUCAAAGUGGAGGCUCGCAUCAGGAGUCCUGUGUGACAAGAAAGUUCCACAAAAACUCAGGGGGAAAUUUUAUAGAGCUGUGGUUAGGCCUGCCAUGUUGUAUGGGGCGGAGUGCUGGCCAGUGAAGAACUCUCAUGUUCAGAGAAUGAAGGUUGCGGAGUGUAUGGGGCAGAGUGCUGGCCAGUGAAGAACUCUCAUGUUCAGAGAAUGACGGUUGCGGAGAUGAAGAUGCUCAGGAGGAUGUGCGGGCUCACCAGGUUAGAUAAGAUUAAGAAUGAAGUUAUUCGAGAGAAGAGGGGGUGGCCCCGGUGGAUGAGAAGAUGCGUGAAUCGAGGCUGAGGUGGUUCGGGCAUGUGCGGAGGAGAAGUCCUGAUGCCCCGGUGAAGAUUUGUGAGCGGCUGGCGAUGGUCGGCGUACGGCAAGGCAGAUGGAGGCCUAAGAGGUAUUGGGCAGAGGUGAUUAGGCAUGACAUGGCUAGAAUGCGGGUUUCCGNNN